rnacentral:rRNA from 1 species
GACGGAGGGUGCAAGCGUUGUUCGGAAUCACUGGGCGUAAAGCGCGUGUAGGCGGUUCGAUAAGUCGGACGUGAAAGCCCGGGGCUUAACCCCGGAAGGGCAUCCGAAACUGUCGAGCGUGAGUACGGGAGAGGGAAGCGGAAGUCCUGGUGGAGAGGUGAAAUUCGUAGCUAUCAGGAGGAACACCGGGGGCGAAGGCGGCGUCAUGGACCGAUACUGACGCUGAGACGCGAAAGCUUGGUGAGCCAACAGGAUUAGAUACCCCGGUAGUCC